rnacentral:pre_miRNA from 1 species
AGAGUACUCCCUCCGUCCGAAAAUACUUAUCAUCAAAAUGGACAAAAAGGGAUGUAUAUAGAACUAAAAUACAUCUAGAUACAUCUCCUUUUAUCCAUUUUGAUGACAAGUAUUUCCAGACGGAGGGAGUAUUAA